rnacentral:rRNA from 1 species
UACGAAGGGGGCGAGCGUUGUUCGGAAUUACUGGGCGUAAAGGGCGCGUAGGCGGCGACUCAAGUUAGAUGUGAAAGUCCUGGGCUUAACCUGGGGACUGCAUUUGAUACUGGGUUGCUUGAAUUCGGGAGAGGAUAGCGGAAUUCCCAGUGUAGAGGUGAAAUUCGUAGAUAUUCGCAAGAACACCAGUGGCGAAGGCGGCUCACUGGCCCGUAACUGACGCUGAGGCACGAAAGCGUGGGGAGCAAACAGG